rnacentral:rRNA from 1 species
AGCGGGGGAUCGCAAGACCUCGCGCGAUUGGAGCGGCCGAUAUCAGAUUAGGUAGUUGGUGGGGUAAAGGCUCACCAAGCCAACGAUCUGUAGCUGGUCUGAGAGGACGACCAGCCACACUGGAACUGAGACACGGUCCAGACUCCUACGGGAGGCAGCAGUGGGGAAUUUUGGACAAUGGACGCAAGUCUGAUCCAGCCAUUCCGCGUGCAGGAUGAAGGCCCUCGGGUUGUAAACUGCUUUUGUACGGAACGAAAAGGUUUCUAUUAAUACUGGGAGCUCAUGACGGUACUGUAAGAAUAAGCACCGGCUAACUACGUGCCAGCAGCCGCGGUAAUACGUAGGGUGCAAGCGUUAAUCGGAAUUACUGGGCGUAAAGCGUGCGCAGGCGGUUAUGUAACACAGAUGUGAAAUCCCCGGGCUCAACCUGGGAACUGCCUUUGUGACUGCAUAUCUACAGUACGGUAGAGGGGGAUGGAAUUCCGCGUGUAGCAGUGAAAUGCGUAGAUAUGCGGAGGAACACCGAUGGCGAAGGCAAUCCCCUGGACCUGUACUGACGCUCAUGCACGAAAGCGUGGGGAGCA